rnacentral:rRNA from 1 species
GUCAUCCUUCGGGGUGUUGUGGCGCUGACGAGUGGCGGACGGGUGAGUAAUGCUUAGGAAUCUGCCUAGAAGUGGGGGAUAACCCGAGGAAACUCGGAUUAAUACCGCAUAAGCCCUACGGGGGAAAGCGGGGGACUAUUCGGAACCUCGCGCUUUUGGAUGAGCCUAAGUCGGAUUAGCUUGAUGGUGAAGUAAAAGCUCACCAUGGCGACGAUCCGUAGCUGGUCUGAGAGGACGAUCAGCCACACUGGGACUGAGACACGGCCCAGACUCCUACGGGAGGCAGCAGUGGGGAAUAUUGGACAAUGGGGGCAACCCUGAUCCAGCAAUGCCGCGUGUGUGAAGAAGGCCUGCGGGUUGUAAAGCACUUUCAGUAGGGAAGAAAAGCUCGAGGUUAAUACUCUCGGGCCCUGACGUAACCUAAAGAAGAAGCACCGGCUAACUCCGUGCCAGCAGCCGCGGUAAUAC